AAGACUAUAGACCUGCGGAGUACCUGCGGAGGGAUCAUUAGUGAACGCCCUCACGGGCUUAUAACUAUUCCAAACCUCUGUGAACCGUGCCCUUCGGGGCUAUUUUACAAACAUGGUGUAAUGAACGUCAUAUAUCAUAACAAAACAAAACUUUUAACAACGGAUCUCU
rnacentral:misc_RNA from 1 species